AAAAGAUAACUGUUUUCUUUUCUAACAUUUAACCGAUUUUCGUAAUACAAGGGAUUGACAGUUUGGAAGUUAGGAGGAAAAACAGGUCUUUCCGUAUCCAGUCUAUACAGCUUCAACAUGUUUGCCGUCUUCUCAGUAUGGCUGCUGGGAACAGUGAUCAGCCACGUGACCUUCGCCGCCACCAUAGCAAGCCCGUUCAAACCAGUCUGUGUCUACUACGGUAAAACACUACCCCUCUUGGGGUGUUCGAGGACGGUUGUACCGCGCAUUGCACUUGUUUCGAGUCAGGAGGUAUAGGGUGCGUGGACAUGUGCUCUCCCAUGGUAUACAGACCCGGAUGUGUGGGAGUGUUCAAACCUACUAGAGACCCAGCAACCUCCACGGACUGCUGCCCUGUGGAACAGUGCCCUUAGUAAAUAAACAAUAAACAAAAGUUGUUUAAGUAAACAAAUAAGUAAAUAAACAAGUCGAGUUUAUUUUUUA